AUAUCUCUCCGUACGGGAAGGAUGAGAAGCUUCGACUAAGGUUCGAUUCGAGCGCAGCGAGAACGCGUUGCCGCAGGCAACGACCCGAAGGGCGAAGCGCGCAGCGCUG
rnacentral:sRNA from 4 species